rnacentral:lncRNA from 1 species
GAAAAUAUCGAAGCAAGGCAGCUUCUUUCUCCAAAUCGAUCAUCCUCAUCAUAAAAGAAAAGGAAAAAUGAUGCACAUGACCUUGUACUGGGGCAUAAAAGUGACCCUCCUCUUCGAUUGCUGGAAAACAGAUUCUUGGUUCAGUUACCUCCUUUCUUUACUUGCUUGUUUCCUUUUCUCUGCUUUCUACCAAUACUUGGAAGAUCGUCGCAUCCGAUUCAAGGCCAUCGCUGUCUCCAACCCCUCCCAGCAACCACCACCUGUCAACGCCCCUCUUCUCACCCCUAAACGACGCGCCAGUUCAGCCAAAUUCGCCACCGCUUUGUUGUUUGGGAUCAACGCGGCCAUCGGGUAUUUGUUGAUGUUGGCUAUCAUGUC